AUGUGGUUGCGUUUGGGCGCAUGCCAGCACUUCACCGCCCCUCUCCAGCAGAACCCAUUAACCCUCGAGAUGAAUGCGAUUAUCCCAAUUUGACGACAGACAAAACCGUGCCCCCGAGAGGCUGCGCAACUUGCUCAAGAUCAGGGCAGGGCCGCUGCAGAGUCAACCUGCUAGAUUUGGAUCUGAUGGCCUUUCCUCCCCCGAGCUCUUGGUGGGGGCUUUGGGUUAGCAGGACAGGAGAGGCAGGGGACGUGGGCUCUAGUGGCAUCCCUGAUGGGUGGCCGUGGACUCCACAGUUGAGUUUGCAGCACUGGGCAGUGGCCUCGCAGACAGAUGCAGAAGUAAGAGACCCAAGCUUCGAGGAGCCCAUGUUUGGGUGAGAAGCGAUCAUUCCAGCACAACGAGGCAAUAACGUGGGAGUUCAGGCCAGCUACUCAACUCCAGACGCUGUUCAACACACUUCUAAUCUAUAAAUCAACUCAGUCCUCACUGCAGUCCCAUAGCCGCAUCUGAGUCGAGCCACUUUCUGGCCGUUGGCAGAAGCCUGGCAUCAUUCGUGAUAGAGUUUCCGAGUGCAGAGAUUUUUCUCUGGAAGACAGCUCAUUUGGAAGUUGAGACACUCCUUGCGUUCGCUGGGGUGAAAAUCCCAUUCUGUACAGAACGCCCAGCAAUCCUCAGGAGAUGCUGCUGUCUUUCUAGGCCCAGAAGUCUCCAGAGGACUCGCGGAUCAACAGUAAUCACAGGCUGCUCUGCGUCCAGAUAGAAGGAGGAAGAGAAAACAUCAGGCAAGUGUAGACUCUGGGCUACACUCUGGGCUCGCUGUGCUGUGACAUUUCCUGUAGGUCUCAGCAGACAUAGAAGCCCAGGGGGUGUCCAGAAGAUGUCCCUCCCCCGCAAGCUCCUUCCUGGGGAAAGCACCCCAUCCCCACCCAGGGCCAGAGGAAAGUAUUUUCAGGGCUUUUUUUAAUCAGACUUGGGAGAAAGUCUUUCUAGGCAGCAGCCCUGCCUGGCAGGGAGUCCAAACCCGAGUCACUGCUUCCCUGCACUGCUGGCUAUUCCUUUUCCUUCUUUUCCUCCCAUAUCUGUCCUCUGGUCUUUGUGUCAGCACCUUCUGGAGACACACAAAGGACUCGGCCAUCCUUGAGCUGCCCAUGGGUCGGAGCUGGGCUCCUUGCUCCAUGCAGUUGACCUCAGAGUAGGCCCUUUGCCACCUGGACCCACAUAGGGGUCCCAUCACUCCUCACCCACAGCUUCCGGUGACACCAUCGCCCAUGGGGUGUCCAACCAGCGGCCCCUGGGCCUGGCCUGUGUCUGGAAGCAAGGGUGGGGUGGGGAGAAGCAGCCCAAGGAGGAACUGUUAAGUCAUCUUCACCAGAUGCUGGGCUAGCUCCCUCCCCUCCACCUCCUUGCCCGGUCAGCUUUAUCCUAUCCACCUCUUGCGGAUGAGGAAACAUGCUCAGAAGACUUGAAGUCCCUUUUCUAAAGUCACACAGCCCGAGAAGGCAGAGCAGGGCCUUUGAACUCAGUUUGCCAGCGAGUGCUACCUUUGGGGGCUGUCUGCACUCCCUGGCUAGGUGGUGAGCUCCCCGCAGGCUCCCUCACCCCCUCACCAGCCCCCCUGCAACAGGCCUCCCUUCCCAGGCAAUGACACAAUGACACCUCCACUUUUCAGGCGCUAAGGCCCCAUAUGGGUACCUCUUGAAUGAAUGAAUGAGUGAAUGAAUGAAUGAUGAGAAAUUGGGAAGAGUCCCUGUGUGAGUUAUUGGAAACGGGCCCCACAGGGAAUUCAGAUCACAUUAAUAAUCGAUAAAUGACCUUGGUCGUGACUGGUAGAAAGUGCACGUCGGACUCUGAAAACAGGAUCUGGGCUGACUUAAGGAAGAACUGGCUGACUGGGAUCCUAAAGUAGCAGCCCUGCCCUGGAUGAAGGGUCUCCCUUGGGAUUUCCCCCCAGGUCCUCUUGCUUUCCUUGCCACAGCUGCCGACAGGGUGCGUGGCCCCCAGCCUCCCGUUCUGCAGGCCAACACAUCCCUAGUCCCGGUGGUUCCUCUGAGCUGGCUUCCAGACCCUUCCCACAGAAGGGGCCUCCAGCCUGCCUGUCCCUGGUUCCAGGGCAGAGGUCAGUGGGCCACACCCCUCCCUCAUCCUAGAGAUGCCUCCUAAAGUGCCCAGCUUCCUUUGGGCCCCUCAUUUCCUCCGAGUUGCUGGUUGACCCUCUGCUGCACCCCUUCUAGGCCCCACAAAGCUUCUCCUGCCCCCGUCCCCCCCUACCCCUGGAUGUGGGUCCUCUUUCCUGGUAAUGCAUGGUGCUGACUAACAUUGGCUUCCCACAUGGCAAAGCCCUGCCCUUUCUGAAAGAGGAUGACCUGUUGGGAAGACACUUUUUUUUGGAAGAUGUCCCCCCCAACAACUCCUGUCCCAGCCUGAUGCUUUACAUCCUCCACUGGCGAUUUAGAUUUAGAGAAAGGCUUUCUCAGGGGUGCCUGGGUGGCUCAGUUGGUUGGGCAUCUGCCUUUGGAUCAGGGUCCUGCGAUCAAGUCCCACGUCGCGUCUUAAAGAAAGCCUUUCUCAGGCUCGGGACCCACACUGUGAGGAAGCUCGGGGUGUAGGCAAGGACAACACUCCCACAUUUAGCAUGCCCCAUGAGAGGAACCGAAACCAUCUCUGUGGAACAUCAGAGAAAGAUCUAGGAAUGGGCACCAAGCACUGGCUUCUGUGAAGGAUUCAGGAAGACUGUGGGCGCUUCAUACGCGUGAUCUCACGGCCUCAUGAGGGGCAUGACUCACUGUUGGAUAUGGAAGGGACUCAAGCUGAGAAAAGCCAGCUGGCCAGGGUCCCGGGGGAGGAAGGGGCAGGACCAAGCACGUAUCUAAACCACCUGUUUUCAGCAGAGAAAGUUCUGGGGGUGCCUGGGUGGCUCAGUCGGCAAAGCGUCUGCCUUUGGCUCAGGUCAUGAUCUCAGGGUCCUGGGACUGAGCGAGCCCUGAGUCGGCUCCCUGCUCAGUGUGGAGUCUGCCUCUCCC